GUUAUAUUCAGUAGUUACCCAAGCACAGAAGCUGUUCUGGAAGCAGAAUCCAGACUCCUGUUUUUGCUUGCUGUCUGGCUCCUUGAGUCUUGCAUUUAUAACAGAAUCUUUAAUCAGCAGUGACCUAGGUGCACAGAGUAUUGAUAACAUUCCUUACAAAACUUGAGAAAGGCUGAUAGGCACCCAGUGGGCUGCUGGCAGAGGAUGAGAGGGCUGUCCCAUGCAAACCUACGAGAGUGUGCUUUGAAUAUUCUUGCUCUGAAGACACUGCCUUUUGGUGAGGAUUGAGAAAGCUGCAAGUACCUGCUACUCCUGCAUUACAUGUUGUUGCACUAAAGCAACUAAAACAAU